rnacentral:tRNA from 1 species
GGGGCUGUAGCUCAGUGGUAGAGCACCCACCUUGCAUGUGUGAAGCACAGGGUUCAAUCCUCAGCACCA